rnacentral:rRNA from 1 species
CCUACGGGUGGCUGCAGUGGGGAAUAUUGCACAAUGGGCGCAAGCCUGAUGCAGCCAUGCCGCGUGUGUGAAGAAGGCCUUCGGGUUGUAAAGCACUUUCAGCGGGGAGGAAGGCGGUGAGGUUAAUAACCUCAUCGAUUGACGUUACCCGCAGAAGAAGCACCGGCUAACUCCGUGCCAGCAGCCGCGGUAAUACGGAGGGUGCAAGCGUUAAUCGGAAUUACUGGGCGUAAAGCGCACGCAGGCGGUCUGUCAAGUCGGAUGUGAAAUCCCCGGGCUCAACCUGGGGACUGCAUUCGAAACUGGCAGGCUAGAGUCUUGUAGAGGGGGGUAGAAUUCCAGGUGUAGCGGUGAAAUGCGUAGAGAUCUGGAGGAAUACCGGUGGCGAAGGCGGCCCCCUGGACAAAGACUGACGCUCAGGUGCGAAAGCGUGGGGAGCAAACAGGAUUAGAUACCCGAGUAGUC